UUAAGCGACUAAGCGUACACGGUGGAUGCCCUGGCAGUCAGAGGCGAUGAAGGACGUGCUAAUCUGCGAAAAGCGCCGGCGAGGUGAUAUGAACCCUUGACCCGGCGAUGUCCGAAUGGGGAAACCCAGUGCAAUCCGUUGCACUAUCGUUAACUGAAUACAUAGGUUAACGAGGCGAACCGGGGGAACUGAAACAUCUAAGUACCCCGAGGAAAAGAAAUCAACCGAGAUUCCCCCAGUAGCGGCGAGCGAACGGGGAGCAGCCCGGAGUCUGAAUCAGCUUGUGUGUUAGUGGAACGGUCUGGAAAGUCCGACGGUACAGGGUGAUAGUCCCGUACACGAAAGCACACUUGCUGUGAACUCGAAGAGUAGGGCGGGACACGUGGUAUCCUGUCUGAAUAUGGGGGGACCAUCCUCCAAGGCUAAAUACUCCUGACUGACCGAUAGUGAACCAGUACCGUGAGGGAAAGGCGAAAAGAACCCCGGCGAGGGGAGUGAAAAAGAACCUGAAACCGUGUACGUACAAGCAGUGGGAGCCUCUUUAUGGGGUGACUGCGUACCUUUUGUAUAAUGGGUCAGCGACUUAUAUUCUGUAGCAAGGUUAACCGUAUAGGGGAGCCGAAGGGAAACCGAGUCUUAACUGGGCGUUAAGUUGCAGGGUAUAGACCCGAAACCCGGUGAUCUAGCCAUGGGCAGGUUGAAGGUUGGGUAACACUAACUGGAGGACCGAACCGACUAAUGUUGAAAAAUUAGCGGAUGACCUGUGGCUGGGGGUGAAAGGCCAAUCAAACCGGGAGAUAGCUGGUUCUCCCCGAAAGCUAUUUAGGUAGCGCCUCGUGAACUCAUCUUCGGGGGUAGAGCACUGUUUCGGCUAGGGGGCCAUCCCGGCUUACCAACCCGAUGCAAACUACGAAUACCGAAGAAUGUUAUCACGGGAGACACACGGCGGGUGCUAACGUCCGUCGUGAAGAGGGAAACAACCCAGACCGCCAGCUAAGGUCCCAAAGUCAUGGUUAAGUGGGAAACGAUGUGGGAAGGCACAGACAGCCAGGAUGUUGGCUUAGAAGCAGCCAUCAUUUAAAGAAAGCGUAAUAGCUCACUGGUCGAGUCGGCCUGCGCGGAAGAUGUAACGGGGCUAAACCAUGCACCGAAGCUGCGGCAGCGACACUUAUGUGUUGUUGGGUAGGGGAGCGUUCUGUAAGCCGUUGAAGGUGUGCUGUGAGGCAUGCUGGAGGUAUCAGAAGUGCGAAUGCUGACAUAAGUAACGAUAAAGCGGGUGAAAAGCCCGCUCGCCGGAAGACCAAGGGUUCCUGUCCAACGUUAAUCGGGGCAGGGUGAGUCGACCCCUAAGGCGAGGCCGAAAGGCGUAGUCGAUGGGAAACAGGUUAAUAUUCCUGUACUUGGUGUUACUGCGAAGGGGGGACGGAGAAGGCUAUGUCAGCCGGGCGACGGUUGUCCCGGUUUAAGCAUGUAGGCGGAGGUUCCAGGUAAAUCCGGUACCUUGUUAACGCUGAGGUGUGAUGACGAGGCACUACGGUGCUGAAGUGAUAAAUGCCCUGCUUCCAGGAAAAGCCUCUAAGCAUCAGGUAACACGAAAUCGUACCCCAAACCGACACAGGUGGUCAGGUAGAGAAUACCAAGGCGCUUGAGAGAACUCGGGUGAAGGAACUAGGCAAAAUGGUGCCGUAACUUCGGGAGAAGGCACGCUGAUGUGUAGGUGAAGCCCCUGCGGGUGGAGCUGAAAUCAGUCGAAGAUACCAGCUGGCUGCAACUGUUUAUUAAAAACACAGCACUGUGCAAACACGAAAGUGGACGUAUACGGUGUGACGCCUGCCCGGUGCCGGAAGGUUAAUUGAUGGGGUUAGCGGCAACGCGAAGCUCUUGAUCGAAGCCCCGGUAAACGGCGGCCGUAACUAUAACGGUCCUAAGGUAGCGAAAUUCCUUGUCGGGUAAGUUCCGACCUGCACGAAUGGCGUAAUGAUGGCCAGGCUGUCUCCACCCGAGACUCAGUGAAAUUGAACUCGCUGUGAAGAUGCAGUGUACCCGCGGCAAGACGGAAAGACCCCGUGAACCUUUACUAUAGCUUGACACUGAACACUGGUCCUUGAUGUGUAGGAUAGGUGGGAGGCUUUGAAGCGUGGACGCCAGUCUGCGUGGAGCCGACCUUGAAAUACCACCCUUUAAUGGCUGGUGUUCUAACGUAGACCUGUAAUCCGGGUUGCGGACAGUGUCUGGUGGGUAGUUUGACUGGGGCGGUCUCCUCCCAAAGAGUAACGGAGGAGCACGAAGGUUGGCUAAUCCUGGUCGGACAUCAGGAGGUUAGUGCAAUGGCAUAAGCCAGCUUGACUGCGAGCGUGACGGCGCGAGCAGGUGCGAAAGCAGGUCAUAGUGAUCCGGUGGUUCUGAAUGGAAGGGCCAUCGCUCAACGGAUAAAAGGUACUCCGGGGAUAACAGGCUGAUACCGCCCAAGAGUUCAUAUCGACGGCGGUGUUUGGCACCUCGAUGUCGGCUCAUCACAUCCUGGGGCUGAAGUAGGUCCCAAGGGUAUGGCUGUUCGCCAUUUAAAGUGGUACGCGAGCUGGGUUUAGAACGUCGUGAGACAGUUCGGUCCCUAUCUGCCGUGGGCGCUGGAGAAUUGAGGGGGGCUGCUCCUAGUACGAGAGGACCGGAGUGGACGCAUCACUGGUGUUCGGGUUGUCAUGCCAAUGGCACUGCCCGGUAGCUAAAUGCGGAAGAGAUAAGUGCUGAAAGCAUCUAAGCACGAAACUUGCCCCGAGAUGAGUUCUCCCUGAGACCUUGAGUCUCCUGAAGGAACGUUAAAGACUAUGACGUUGAUAGGUCGGGUGUGUAAGCGCAGCGAUGCGUUGAGCUAACCGAUACUAAUGAACCGUGAGGCUUAACCUU
rnacentral:rRNA from 2 species